ACUUUAUUGAAGACUACAAUGAGAAAAACUAUCAGACAGCAGACGGCUGCAUUCAAGUCUGUAGCUGCUGAAUUCAUGGAUGAAUCAUCUGGCACUAGAGAAGAA